rnacentral:lncRNA from 1 species
GGAUGAGCGUGGAUGGAGCGCCUACUGUAUGCCUCACCCUGUGGCUGGUCUGGGAGAUGGGAUGAGCGUGGAUGGAGCACCUACUGUAUGCCUCACCCUGUGGCUGGUUUGGGAGACGGGAUGAGCGUGGAUGGAGCGCCUACUGUAUGCCUCACGCUGUGGCUGCCACUUUCACUUUCUGCCUCAUCCCAGCCUUGCCAUGUGGCGCCCAUUUCACAGAUGAUGAAACAGAAGCACGCAGAAUUCAGUAACUUUUUUCAAUGUCAAAUAGCUAAUGGGAGAAACAAGAUAUAAACCAGGACACUAGACAAGGUGCAAAGAUGACUCGUGCAGUUCUGCCCUGUAAGAAUCCACAGUUGAAGUAAGAAGCAAGAGAAAUGGAACAGACGAUGAGACAAAGCAGACAGCGGUGACAGCAUCCCACCACACGGCUGCCCUGCUGGAGAAUUCACGGGGAAGUCCAGGAUGUGGCCGGCCCGUGUGCAGACCAGGAGCUCACUGACCGAUCAACACAUCAGGGUUUAGACUUUGGAGAAACCAAAACAGAAAGACCUGCCUGGAGCUCCCACACGGACCCCUCCCUAGAGCCCCAGAUUCUACUGGCCCCCAC